CGGCUGUAGCGAAAUUGAAUCGAUGAGAAGCUAUCUGGCCGGUUGUUGCGAAAUUAAUCAACAUAUCUGCUUACCGAGCUUCUUACAUUU